CCGCCUCAGCUCCGCCCCUUCCGGCUGCGCCGCCCGAGGGGGCUGAUGCGGGCGCCGUGGAUUGGCGGGCGCCGGUAGCUGCCACGUAACGGACGCACGGCGGCCGCCGAGGGACAAGGCGAAUCCGCGCAGACUGAGCCUGGACGGUGGCUCCGAAGGACCAAAAACCAUUGUCUCCAUCCCUCUCCCCGUUCGCGUACAACCUGAAUUUCACGUGGACCACACUAGGAAGCGACGGUAUCAAGAAACCUCCUCCGCCCUGUGCAGUACCCUCUUAGGAUUGUCCAUAAAGAUGGCGAAAGAUUUGGAAGCUGCAACAGGAGUGGAAGGAGGAGAUGGGGCUGAAGCCAAGGGCUUUGCGAUUUUUUGUUAGCCUCCCCUCACCUCACAAAAACCGACAGAAGGACGAUGGAGACAGAGCCCAACCAUUUGAGUGGAUGAGACCCUCAAAGCAGGGAAGCACUACCAAAUGGAUGUAGCUGUGAUGGAAAAUCUACACAGACCCAGCAUUUACAAGUGACCUCUCUUCAGGUGGAAACAGACAUUGAAAUUCAGAGAGCGUGCCCAAUGCACUUAGAAGAAUCUUGUUGCUAAGGUUUGAUCUUCCUGUUUUUCCAAGCAAUUCAGCUCUGGCCUAAAUUUGCAUGCCUUCCAUGUGUUGUGUCCUGCUCAGCAUCUGAAUUCCCUUUCUAAGUCUGGGCUGUCCAUCAUAUGUGAUUCUUGAUGAAAGCAGAGCUUUAGUCCUUCUGUGGAAGCUGAAAAAGUUAAACUUUGCUUCCUCUGAUCCCAGGGCACAAGCUAUAACCCAAGCUCAGCUAUUUGGACGUUCUCGCCAGGCAUCUGAGUGUGGAAUAGAUAAACCAUGGCACGCAGACGGCCUAAAGGAAUGGCAGGGUGGGUGGUGCUUGGAGAGUGAGGUGUUUUGGUGUAAGAUGGAGACGGAGAGGUAAACCAGAUGAGGCUCUGAAAGUCACAGUGGCCACAGUAAGGACUUUGGGUUUAUUGUAACUUGGCUUUGACACCUGGCAUGAUAAAAUGUGUGUAUCAAGAUUACUCGCUGCUGUGUAGAAGACGGAUUAGAAGGAAGAAGAGAUGAAGCAGACAUCUCAGCCUGCUGUAACCUUCCAAGAGGGGAAAUAAUAUUAAGUGGGGCCAGGGUGGUAGCAGGGAUGUGAAGAAAAGGGGAAGAAUUCGAGAGAGAUUUUGGAGGUAACAAUUGACAGGACCUGGUUGCCCUAAUUGCUAAUUCCUCUAACAGCUCCUCACACCACAGUCAGACAAGAGUGUUGAUUCUAUUGAUGUCCCUGUUUUGAAUAAAGUGUGUGGGGGGGUUGGUUAUAGCUCAGUGGUAGUUUCAAUAUGUGUUAGAAAUACGUAGUAAAAUAUUUA